rnacentral:rRNA from 1 species
GACGAACGCUGGCGGCGUGCUUAACACAUGCAAGUCGAACGGAAAGGCCCUGCUUUUGUGGGGUGCUCGAGUGGCGAACGGGUGAGUAACACGUGAGUAACCUGCCCUUGACUUUGGGAUAACUUCAGGAAACUGGGGCUAAUACCGGAUAGGAGCUCCUGCUGCAUGGUGGGGGUUGGAAAGUUUCGGCGGUUGGGGAUGGACUCGCGGCUUAUCAGCUUGUUGGUGGGGUAGUGGCUUACCAAGGCUUUGACGGGUAGCCGGCCUGAGAGGGUGACCGGCCACAUUGGGACUGAGAUACGGCCCAGACUCCUACGGGAGGCAGCAGUGGGGAAUAUUGCACAAUGGGCGCAAGCCUGAUGCAGCAACGCCGCGUGCGGGAUGACGGCCUUCGGGUUGUAAACCGCUUUCGCCUGUGACGAAGCGUGAGUGACGGUAAUGGGUAAAGAAGCACCGACUAACUACGUG